UGGGGAAUAUUGCACAAUGGGCGCAAGCCUGAUGCAGCCAUGCCGCGUGUGUGAAGAAGGCCUUCGGGUUGUAAAGCACUUUCAGCGGGGAGGAAGGCGAUAAGGUUAAUAACCUUGUCGAUUGACGUUACCCGCAGAAGAAGCACCGGCUAACUCCGUGCCAGCAGCCGCGGUAAUACGGAGGGUGCAAGCGUUAAUCGGAAUUACUGGGCGUAAAGCGCACGCAGGCGGUCUGUCAAGUCGGAUGUGAAAUCCCCGGGCUCAACCUGGGAACUGCAUACGAAACUGGCAGGCUAGAGUCUUGUAGAGGGGGGUAGAAUGCCAGGUGUAGCGGUGAAAUGCGUAGAGAUCUGGAGGAAUACCGGUGGCGAAGGCGGCCCCCUGGACAAAGAAUGACGCUCAGGUGCGAAAGCGUGGGGAGCAAACAGG
rnacentral:rRNA from 1 species